rnacentral:rRNA from 1 species
UUUGAUCUGGCUCAGAUUGAACGCUGGCGGGAUGCCUUUACACAUGCAAAGUCGAACGGCAGCACGGACUUCGGUCUGGUGGCGAGUGGCGAACAGGUGAAGUAAUGUAUCGGAACGUGCCUAGUAGCGGGGGAUAACUACGCGAAAGCGUAGCUAAUACCGCAUACGCCCUUCGGGGGAAAACGGGGACCUUCGGGCCUCGCACUGUGCGAUGGCCGAUAUCGGAUUGGCUAGUUGGUGGGGUAACGGCUCACCAAGGCGACGUCCGUAGCUGGUUUGAGAGGACGACCAGCCGCACUGGGACUGAGACGCAGCCGAACUCCUACAGGAGGCAGCAGUGGGAAUUUUGGACAAUGGAAACCUGAUCCAGCCAUCCCGCGUGUGCGAUGAAGGCCUUCGGGUUGUAAAGCACUUUUGGCAGGAAAGAAACGGCACGGGAUAAUACCCCGUGCAACUGACAGUACCUGCAGAAUAAGCACCACGGCUAACUACGUGCACCAGCAGCCGCGGUAAUACGUAGGGUGCAAGCGUUAAUCGGAAUUACUGGGCGUAAAGCGUGCGCAGGCGGUUCGGAAGAAGAUGUGAAAUCCCAGAGCUUAACUUUGGAACUGCAUUUUUAACUACCGAGCUAGAGUGUGUCAGGAGGUGGGUGCGUGUAGCAGUGAAAUGCGUAGAUAUGCGGAGGAACACCGAUGGCGAGGCAGCCUCCUGGGAUAACACUGACGCUCAUGCACAGCGUCGAGGAGCAACAGGAUUAGAUACCCUGGUAGUCCACGCCUAAACGAUGUCAACUAGCUGUUGGGGCCUUCUCGGGCCUUGGUAGCGCAGCUAACAGCGACAGAGUUUGACCGCGCCUGGGGAGAGUACGGUCGCAAGAUUAAAACUCAAAGGAAUUGACGGGGACCCGCACGGGCAACGCGAAAGGCCUUACCUACCCUUGACAUGUCUGGAAUCCCGAAGAGAUUUGGGAGUGCUCGCAGAGAACCGGAACACAGGUGCUGCAUGGCUGUCGUCAGCUCGUGUGUAGAGAUGUUGGGUUAAGUCCUGGCGAGCGCAACCCUUGUCAUUAGUUGCUGAAAGGGCACUCUAAUGAGACUGCCGGUGACAAACCGGAGGAAGGUGGGGAUGACGUCAAGUCCUCAUGGCCCCUUAUGGGUAGGGCUUCACGUCAUACAAUGGUCGGGACAGAGGGUCGCCAAGCCGCAGGGGCAAUCCCAGAAACCCGAUCGUAGUCCGGAUCGCAGUCUGCAACUCGACUGCGUGAAGUCCGGAAUCGCUAGUAAUCGCGGAUCAGCAUGUCGCGGUGAAUACGUUCCGGGUCUUGUACACACCGCCCGUCACACUGUGGGAGUGGGUUUUACCGAAAGUGAUUAGCCUAACCGCUGAGAGGGCGAUUACCACGGUAGGAUUCAUGACUGGAGGUGAAGUGCGUAACAAGGUAG